GACGAGCAUCAAAUCAUCAGGAAGAGCUGAAAUCAGCAAAGACUGAGUUUAUUAAAGAGGACAGAGAGAAGAUGAGCGAUCCAGAACCCUGCAGAAUCAAACACACUGAAGAUACUCAAGAACAAACAGAACUGAAUAAUGCAUUUCUAUGGACAAAAUGCAUCUACAAAUAUUGGAGGAAACAGAAUGAGCUCCUGCAGGAAAAGUACGUGAUCCAAGCUGCCCAAAACAUGACUUGAUGAAUCCCUGAAUCUCGUCACGGUGUGAACACUUGUAAGGUUUCUCUCCAGUGUGGAUCCUCUCAUGUGUUUUCAGACUUGAUGAAGCCCUGAAACUCUUGUCACAGUGUGAACACUU